GGGGUACACGAGCGGCGAACGGGUGAGUAACACGUGAGCAAUCUACCCAUCACAUCGGGAUAACUCCGGGAAACCGAAGCUAAUACCGAAUACGACCACCUCAAGCAUCUGAUGGUGGUGGAAAGUUCCGGCGGUGAUGGAUGAGCUCGCGGCCUAUCAGCUUGUUGGUGGGGUAACGGCCCACCAAGGCUUCGACGGGUAGCCGGCCUGAGAGGGUGACCGGCCACACUGGGACUGAGACACGGCCCAGACUCCUACGGGAGGCAGCAGUGGGGAAUAUUGGACAAUGGGCGAAAGCCUGAUCCAGCAACGCCGCGUGAGGGAUGACGGCCUUCGGGUUGUAAACCUCUUUCAGCAGGGACGAAGCGAAAGUGACGGUACCUGCAGAAGAAGCACCGGCCAACUACGUGCCAGCAGCCGCGGUAAUACGUAGGGUGCGAGCGUUGUCCGGAAUUAUUGGGCGUAAAGGGCUCGUAGGCGGUCUGUCGCGUCGGGAGUGAAAACUCAGGGCUUAACCCUGAGCCUGCUUCCGAUACGGGCAGACUAGAGGUAUGCAGGGGAGAAUGGAAUUCCUGGUGUAGCGGUGAAAUGCGCAGAUAUCAGGAGGAACACCGGUGGCGAAGGCGGUUCUCUGGGCAUUACCUGACGCUGAGGAGCGAAAGUGUGGGGAGCGAACAGG
rnacentral:rRNA from 1 species